AGCGCAGUAGCGAAGUGGAAACGCGCAGGGCUCAUAACCCUGAGAUCCCCGGAUCGAAACCGGGCUGCGCUA
rfam:Candida tanzawaensis NRRL Y-17324 unplaced genomic scaffold CANTAscaffold_2, whole genome shotgun sequence.